rnacentral:rRNA from 1 species
UACGUAGGGGGCUAGCGUUGGCCGGAAUCAUUGGGCGUAAAGCGCGUGUAGGCGGUCCGGUAAGUCCGCUGUGAAAGUCGAGGGCUCAACCCUCGAAUGCCGGUGGAUACUGUCGGGCUUGAGUACGGGAGAGGCGAGUGGAAUUCCUGGUGUAGCGGUGAAAUGCGCAGAUAUCAGGAGGAACACCGAUUGCGAAGGCAGCUCGCUGGAACGUUACUGACGCUGAGACGCGAAAGCGUGGGUAGCAAACAGG